AGACCCGAAACCCGGUGAUCUAGCCAUGGGCAGGUUGAAGGUUGGGUAACACUAACUGGAGGACCGAACCGACUAAUGUUGAAAAAUUAGCGGAUGACCUGUGGCUGGGGGUGAAAGGCCAAUCAAACCGGGAGAUAGCUGGUUCUCCCCGAAAGCUAUUUAGGUAGCGCCUCGUGAAUUCAUCUCCGGGGGUAGAGCACUGUUUCGGCUAGGGGGCCAUCCCGGCUUACCAACCCGAUGCAAACUGCGAAUACCGGAGAAUGUUAUCACGGGAGACACACGGCGGGUGCUAACGUCCGUCGUGAAGAGGGAAACAACCCAGACCGCCAGCUAAGGUCCCAAAGUCAUGGUUAAGUGGGAAACGAUGUGGGAAGGCCCAGACAGCCAGGAUGUUGGCUUAGAAGCAGCCAUCAUUUAAAGAAAGCGUAAUAGCUCACUGGUCGAGUCGGCCUGCGCGGAAGAUGUAACGGGGCUAAACCAUGCACCGAAGCUGCGGCAGCGACGCUUAUGCGUUGUUGGGUA
rnacentral:rRNA from 6 species